rnacentral:lncRNA from 1 species
GGGGGGGGCGGAGGGGGCAGAGGCCGGAAGCUCGGCUCCUGGCCGGUGAGUCCUCCGAGACGGAGGGCAGAGGUGGUCCUGGAGGCCACUGAGCAGGGGGCAAGCUCCCAGGCACAGGGCGGCCAGCGGAGAGAGACACCAGCAAGUGGCCAGAGGGCCAGUGCUAAGGGCCAGGGAAAUGGGAAACCGAAGGAGUCCGAGGGGCCUGAGCGGAGGCUGGAUCGGGAGGGGCCGGUACUCGGGAGCGGGGAGUGUGUGUCCCGGGGUCCCAGGGCUGGAGGGCAGCGGUGCUUCUGAAGCUGACAGCGCAGGGGGCCGAGAGGCGAGGCCGUGGCCUCAGCAGAGACUGCCGGACACCAGAGGCGGAGGACGGAGUCACAGGAGGAGAAGGCAGCGCGGGAACAGGGAGGAGGGGAACCUGAGACAAGAAGAAGCAGGUUCCAGGCCAGCCUGCUUGACAACAAACCAAAAGAAUCAUCGGACAGAAGCAGCUGCAGUGUGCUCACGGCUGCCCACGGCCCUCGUCUGCAUGGGAAGGGCCUCAGCUCCCUUCGCAGGCGAAGUGGGAGCGCGUGCUGAGGGACGCACACGCAGGCAGGGCCGCGCAGCCGUGGACAGCGGGAGGAGGCUCCCCCGCACUGAUGAGCUCUCUGCGUUUAGAGCACAGCGUCAUGCACUUCCACGCGGGACUGCCGGGACGCUGCCCGUGUCUGGUGUGCGCACACUGACGCGAGAGAGGCGGCUUUCUGCACAUCUCCUGUCCUUCACUUCGCAGGCGGAUGCUGUCACGCGGUCAUUGUGAUGGAAAACUUGUAGGACUACAGGAGGGGACAGGCGUGGGUAUUCUCAAAAGUCUUAUCGAGUGAUGGUGCUCUGGCUGAAACACUGAUUUUAUUUGGUUUUGGGGACUAUUAAAAGCUUAAAACUAAAAAAGUUUUAAAAAACCCAAAGCAAACUGCAAAACAUAUAAAACUAUGAAGCAGGGUGCACAGCCUGAUGUCUUUUGCUCAUGGAAGAAGGG